CGAAAGGUGCAAGCGUUACUCGGAAUCACUGGGCGUAAAGCGCACGUAGGCGGACUAGUAGGUCAAUUGUGAAAUACCUGGGCUCAACCCAGGAACUGCAGUUGAAACCGCUUGUCUUGAAUAUCUGAGAGGGUGGGGGAAUACCUGGUGGAGAAGUGAAAUUCGUAGAGAUCAGGUGGAACACCGGAGGCGAAGGCGCCUGCCUGGCAGUAUAUUGAUGCUGAGGUGCGAAAGUGCGGGGAGCAAACAGGAUUAGAUACCCUGGUAGUCCGCACCGUAAACGAUGGAUACUAGGCGUUCGGAGAGUUAACCCUCUGAGUGCCAAAGUUCACACAUUAAGUAUCCCGCCUGGGAAGUACGGUCGCAAGACUA
rnacentral:rRNA from 1 species